rnacentral:lncRNA from 1 species
AAAAAAAUCAAAGAGCAGAUUGCUCUGAGGGAUACGAUUGCCGUUGUUUCGUUGACACAUGUAUACAUGUAGCUGGAUAAUAUUAUUUUCAAAACUAAUUCAACUGCACAUGUAAAAUAGUUACAAAAUAGCCAAUCCCGGAUAAAAGUGUAUGAACAAUGUAAUUAGGCCUAUUGUGUUUUAUUUUUGUACUAUCAAUUCCAAGUUUACUUUCCACAGCAGUCACUGAGACUCAGAGUGAGAGAAGGUAUUUCACUUCGUAUCUUAUCACCUAUUUUCCUACGUUAAUUCUAGGAGGAACCCCAUUCCUAACUCUUUAAAUAUUUAAUUUCCUUUCGGUCAGUGAUC